UACGUAGGGGGCAAGCGUUGUCCGGAUUCAUUGGGCGUAAAGAGCUCGUAGGCGGUUCAGUAAGUCGGGUGUGAAAUCUCCGUGCUCAACACGGAGCGGCCACCUGAUACUGCUGUGACUCGAGUCCGGUAGGGGAGUGUGGAAUUCCCGGUGUAGCGGUGAAAUGCGCAGAUAUCAGGAAGAACACCCGUGGCUAAGGCGGCUCUCUAGUACGGUACUGACGCUGAGACGCGAAAGCGUGGGGAGCGAACAGG
rnacentral:rRNA from 1 species